CACAUGUUGAAAUUUAAAUUUAAAUUCACUAACAUCAAAUAAAUUUAAAAAUUGAAUUCCUUAGUUGCCCUACCACAUGCCAAAGUUUCACUAGCUACAUGUGUCUUCUAUCUACCAUGUUGGUCAGCACAGAGUUUCAGAACAUUUCCAUUCUCACAGAAAGCUCUAUUGGAGAGUAAUGUCUGAACAGAAGAGUCUAUGAUCAUUAUCAGUGAGAAAACAGCAAAGGCAGCUAAGAAGCAAAGUCCAGGUCUCUUCAGAAAAGAUAGGGGUGUUGAGCUUGGUGAGGGUAUAACGUCCACAUCAGUGCUUAAGACAUGGUAAGUAAGUGACAGAUGUAUUUUUGGAUGAUCUUGAAUGCCAGAGAGGACAAUUUAUGUGAAUUUGGUAUGCAGUGAGAAACAUUAAGUAUUUCUUAUCAAGGAAGUGGUAUUAUUGGAUCUGUUCUUUAGAAUAAUUAUUUGGGAGGUGGUUCAUAAAACUGAAAUAAUGAUAGUUAAUGGUGGGGAAACUGAUUAUGAGGCUAUUGAGCUUGGAAUGGAAAAGCUGUAAAGGAUGUUAGAAAUUUGAAGUAGAACCUAAUGACUUGAUAUUAUGAGGAGAAUGAGGAAGAGAAGUUUGAGUAAUCAAGAGAAGGGUGGUGGCAUGGUCAGAAAUACAGAAGUCAGGAGAAUGAUGGAAUUUGUUUCAAAGGAGAGCAAGUUCAGUUUUGAACAGCUUGAAUUUAAGGUUCUUGUGAGACAUUUAUCUGGAAAUGUCCAUGACGCACUAGGAAAUUUCCAAAUUCUUUGCUUAUUUUCACAGAAAAUAAUGGCCUGUGAAUGGCCUGUUAAGAUGAGCAAGAUUGUGAGAUCAUGGAACUCAACACAGGCAGGGGAGACAACUUCCAAAACAGCAGGAGUGGAAUCCAAAAAGUUAUCAACAUUAAGAGUUACAGAGGCAAUCACUUCUGAAGACUCCAACUUCAGAAUAACAUUAAGAUGA
rnacentral:lncRNA from 1 species